rnacentral:tRNA from 1 species
GCAUUGGUGGUUCAGUGGUAGAAUUACUGCCUUCCAUGUACAAGACCCAUGUUAGAUUCCUGGCCAGUGCA